GGGUGAUUAGCUCAGCUGGUUAGAGCACUUCGUUUACACCGAAGGGGUCGGGAGUUCGAAUCUCUCAUCACCCACCA
rnacentral:tRNA from 2 species